AGUUGAUUCUGGCUCAGAACGAACGCUGGCAGCGUGGAUUAGGCAUGCAAGUCGAACGGGAUCCGGUAGGCAGCAAUGUCGGCCAGUGAGAGUGGCGGAAGGGCGAGGAACACGUGGGCAACCUGUCUCUGAGGUGGGGAAAACCGUUGGAAACGACGGCUAAUACCGAAUGUAGCGCCCGCUCGCAUGAGCGGAGCGCCAAAGGGGGCGAAAGCUCCCCCUCUCCGAGGGCCCGCGCACCAUCAGCUUGUUGGCGGGGUAACGGCCCACCAAGGCUCACGGUUAGCUGGUCUGAGAGGAUGGCCAGCCGCACUGGGACUGAGAUACUGCCCAGACUCCUACGGGAGGCUGCAGUCGAGGAUCAUUUGCAAGUGGGACGAAAGCCUGAACAAUGCGAACCGCUGCGUGGAGGGUGAACGGCCCGUCGGGUUAGUAAACCUCCUGUCAUGGGGGAAAAGGAAAAGGGACCCAACACGUCCCCGAUUUGAUGGUACCCCAAGAGGAAGCGACGGCUAACUCUGUGCCAGCCGCCGC
rnacentral:rRNA from 1 species